CUACGUGCCAGCAGCCGCGGUCAUACGUAGGUCCCGAGCGUUAUCCGGAGUGACUGGGCGUAAAGAGUUGCGUAGGCGGUCAAGUUAGCGAGCGAUGAAAACUAUCGGCUCAACCGAUAGCUUGUUGUUCGAACUGCUUGACUCGAGAGUAUCAGAGGUCGCUGGAAUUCCUAGUGUAGCAGUGAAAUGCGUAGAUAUUAGGAAGAACACCGAUGGCGUAGGCAGGCGACUGGGAUAUUUCUGACGCUAAGGCACGAAAGCGUGGGUAGCGAACCGGAUUAGAUACCCGGGUAGUCCACGCCGUAAACGAUGGAUGCUAAUUGUUUGAGGUAUCGACCCCUCGAGUAAUAAAGCUAACGCGUUAAGCAUCCCGCCUGUGGAGUACGGCCGCAAGGCUAAAACAUAAAGGAAUUGACGGGGACCCGCACAAGCGGUGGAGGAUGUUCUUUAAUUCGACGUUAAGCGAAGAACCUUACCAGGGCUUGACAUCCCUAGAACUUUUUCGAAAGAAAAAGGUGC
rnacentral:rRNA from 1 species